rnacentral:rRNA from 1 species
AUUGAACGCUGGCGGCAGGCCUAACACAUGCAAGUCGAACGGUAACAGGAAGCAGCUUGCUGCUUUGCUGACGAGUGGCGGACGGGUGAGUAAUGUCUGGGAAACUGCCUGAUGGAGGGGGAUAACUACUGGAAACGGUAGCUAGUACCGCAUAACGUCGCAAGACCAAAGAGGGGGACCUUCGGGCCUCUUGCCAUCGGAUGUGCCCAGAUGGGAUUAGCUAGUAGGUGGGGUAACGGCUCACCUAGGCGACGAUCCCUAGCUGGUCUGAGAGGAUGACCAGCCACACUGGAACUGAGACACGGUCCAGACUCCUACGGGAGGCAGCAGUGGGGAAUAUUGCACAAUGGGCGCAAGCCUGAUGCAGCCAUGCCGCGUGUAUGAAGAAGGCCUUCGGGUUGUAAAGUACUUUCAGCGGGGAGGAAGGGAGUAAAGUUAAUACCUUUGCUCAUUGACGUUACCCGCAGAAGAAGCACCGGCUAACUCCGUG